rnacentral:rRNA from 1 species
AGUGAACGCUGGCGGUAGGCCUAACACAUGCAGGUCGAACGGCAGCACAGUAAGAGCUUGCUCUUACGGGUGGCGAGUGGCGGACGGGUGAGGAAUACAUCGGAAUCUACUUUUUCGUGGGGGAUAACGUAGGGAAACUUACGCUAAUACCGCAUACGACCUACGGGUGAAAGCAGGGGAUCUUCGGACCUUGCGCGAUUGAAUGAGCCGAUGUCGGAUUAGCUAGUUGGCGGGGUAAAGGCCCACCAAGGCGACGAUCCGUAGCUGGUCUGAGAGGAUGAUCAGCCACACUGAACUGAGACACGGUCCAGACUCCUACGGGAGGCAGCAGUGGGGAAUAUUGGACAAUGGGCGCAAGCCUGAUCCAGCCAUACCGCGUGGGUGAAGAAGGCCUUCGGGUUGUAAAGCCCUUUUGUUGGGAAAGAAAAGCAGCAGGUUAAUACCCCGCUGUUCUGACGGUACCCAAAGAAUAAGCACCGGCUAACUUCGUG